AUCUUUGCGCUUGGGGCAAUGACGUAGACAAUGAGAUUCUAACCGAGACGCGUCUAUUGCUGGUUGAAAACUAUUUCCAAAUCCCCUCUUGAGUCAUGGUUUGACUGUGGUUCUAGAGAAUUUCUGGAAGGAUUUCCACGAGAAAUU
rnacentral:snRNA from 1 species